UAAUUGAAGAGUUUGAUCAUGGCUCAGAUUGAACGCUGGCGGCAGGCCUAACACAUGCAAGUCGGGCGGUAACAGGGAGAAGCUUGCUUCUCUGCUGACGAGCGGCGGACGGGUGAGUAAUGUAUGGGGAUCUGCCUGAUGGCGGGGGAUAACUACUGGAAACGGUAGCUAAUACCGCAUAAUGUCUUCGGACCAAAGCGGGGGACCUCAGGGCCUCGCGCCAUCAGAUGAACCCAUAUGGGAUUAGCUAGUAGGU
rnacentral:rRNA from 1 species